UUCCCAGUAGCUCAGUUGGUAGAGCACUCGGCUGUUAACCGAGGUGUCGUAGGUUCGAGCCCUACCUGGGGAGCCA
rnacentral:tRNA from 2 species